rnacentral:snRNA from 1 species
AGCUUUGUGCAGUAGCAGUAUCACAGCCAAUGAAGUUUAUCUGAGGUGAUUAUUGCUAAUUGAAAAACCCCUGCCUUCCAGGAACUAUUCUAAUUAAGGAAAACAGAUG